CCCAAGAUAGAACUGGUAGCCAGUAUAUUAAAUUGUUAUAAAAAUAUAUGAAAAGAACUGGAACCAGGUUCAGAAUCAUGAAAACAACAUUUUUACAAAAAAAAAAAAAAAUAAACUAUAUUAAACAGGGUUUAAAGGGAAUUAAAACAGAACUAUGAGAAGUACAAUUUGUUAUAGUAUAGUAUCAAAUUUCUAUAUAGAUUUUAUACCUUGGUGGGGGAAAAACAACUGAUUCCAGUGACGUUCAUUUUGUUUUCAUCUGUGAUAGUCAUGGAUGCUUUUUUAUUUCUCCUUGGGGUGCUGAAAUUGAGCUGGGG